GCCUGGAUAGCUCAGCCGGGAGAGCGUCGGACUUUUAAUCCGAGGCUGCGGGGUUCGAGGCCGUGCUCGGGCG
rnacentral:tRNA from 1 species